AUUAAAUAUGUUUUUAUCUCACAUUCUCUGUAUAUAUGUUCGAUCCAAUCACUUAAGCAACACUGUACAUUUUCUUUUAAUUUCUCCCAAUUUAGGGUAAGACAAAACUACUUGAACUGAUGCGCAAUCACAUAGUGUCCACUUCUCAGUUGAGUGCCAGCUUCAUUGUGUCGAAUCCUCGUGCUGUGACCUCGACUGACCAGAUCCUGACAUUUAAUGUAACAACUGCUGGGUAGAUCCUGGUCAAUGGGGAGUCUGUUCUAGAGCUGAAUGUUGAAGUGUAGAAUGGCCGUCUUCAUUCAGUGGAGGGGCUUCUAAUCCCUCCAUCCAUAGAGCCCAUCAUACCUCACAGGUGUGACAUCAAAGAAACCAAUGUUUU